GAUGUGUGUCCGAAAAUAAGAUUUACCUUGAUAGGGUAAUAAAUAUGGGUUAAACCCCAUCAC
rnacentral:tRNA from 1 species